rnacentral:rRNA from 1 species
GGACCCUACUGCUAUCGGGAUAGGACUAAGACAUGCAUGUCGUACGUCUCUCAGCUAUGAAAGAGACGCGGCACACGGCUCAGUAACAUGUGGCUAACCUACCCUUAGGACAGAGAUAACCCCGGGAAACUGGGGCCAAUCCCUGAUAGGCGUGGACUCCUGGAAUGGAUCUACACCCAAAGGGCACCCAAGUCAUGCUUUGGAUGUUGCCUAAGGAUGGGGCCGCAGCCGAUCAGGUUGUUGGUGAGGUAACGGCUCACCAAUCCUAUAACCGGUACGGGCCGCGGGAGCGGUAGCCCGGAGAUGGAUCCUGAGACAAGGAUCCAGGUCCUACGGGGCGCAGCAGGCGCGAAAACUCCGCAAUGCGCGAAAGCGUGACGGGGUCACCCCGAGUGUCACCUGCUGAAGGUAACUUUUCCUCAGUCUAACCAGCUGAAGGUAAUAAGGGGAGGGCAAGUCUGGUGUCAGCCGCCGCGGUAAUACCAGCUCCCCGAGUGGUAAGGACGAUUAUUGGGCCUAAAGCGUCCGUAGCUGGCUUGAUAAGUUUCCCGUUAAAUCCGACGAUCCAAUCGUCGGGCUGCGGGAAAUACUGUUAAGCUAGGAGGCGGGAGAGGCCGGCGGUACUUUUGGGGUAGGGGUGAAAUCCUAUAAUCCCAAGAGGACCACCAGUGGCGAAGGCGACCGGCCAGAACGCACUCGACGGUGAGGGACGAAAGCUGGGGGAGCAAACCGGAUUAGAUACCCGGGUAGUCCCAGCUGUAAACGAUGCGGGCUAAGUGUCGGGAUGGCCAUAGAGCCAUCUCGGUGCUGCAGGGAAGCCGUUAAGCCCCGCCGCCUGGGGAGUACGGCCGCAAGGUUGAAACUUAA